rnacentral:rRNA from 1 species
GUGUCAGCAGCCGCGGUAAUACGGAGGAUCCAAGCGUUAUCCGGAUUUAUUGGGUUUAAAGGGUGCGUAGGCGGCUUAUUAAGUCAGGGGUGAAAGACGGUGGCUCAACCAUCGCAGUGCCUUUGAUACUGAUGAGCUUGAAUGUAGUUGAGGUAGGCGGAAUGAGACAAGUAGCGGUGAAAUGCAUAGAUAUGUCUCAGAACACCGAUUGCGAAGGCAGCUUACUAAACUAUAAUUGACGCUGAUGCACGAAAGCGUGGGGAUCAAACAGGAUUAGAUACCCCUGUAGUCC